CCCAACAGAUGCGGUAUCGCAUAUGUACAUAGAAGGGAAGUCUGUUCCAUCCACGCGACGGGCUACCGUACCUACUAGUUAGGUAUAAACGCAGCGUGUACCUACAUUGACACGCGACAACGACAUGGACGGCGGGAGGUUUGGUGUUGUGCACAGUCAGGUUUUGUGCAUUGACAAUUCCAACCUCCCCUCACCCGUUGAUGCCUCAUUGGCAUGCAAGACUUGUUUCAGCCAUAGCCAACCCUCCGCGUACGUGGGUACCCGAUGUGGAGCAAUUCAACGUCGCCGUGCCGUGUCCGCAUCUUCGGGAGAAGCAGAUGAGAUGAGAAUUGUGAUCAAUGGGUGGUAGUAAGGUGAAUAGGGGAAAAUUCUUUACAUUGUGCUACAUACCUACGCUGUAGUCUAGUUGCGGUUUCGGCUGACGGCUGAUACCGACACGGGCCAAGUGGCUCAUGUGGUUGCAGUGGAAAAUGCUGGAAGUUUGGAACUUUUCACACCUAUAGUGCUAGAACUGCAUAGGAGCUGAACUAAAUUCAUCACUGG